UUAAAAAUCAAUGUCAUAUGCAGUUGUAAUUUCAAGUGAAACUGUAUAAUGCAAAUUAUACAUGUGCCAGUACAUAGGUGUUACAGUUUCAAAUGAAGUCAAUUGCCAAUUUACUGCACUCACUCUAUUGUGGCAAUUUCCCUUUGCCUACAAAAAAAUGCAAAAUACAUAAUUUCCUUUCAUUGAUUAUAAUAAAGGAUACAGGCAAUACAAUAAACAAUGUUCAGCUGUAAAAAAAAACACAUAUAUUUAUUCCAAGUCUUCUAUUGUAGUUUUGGCAGUGGCAUUGAACUAAUUUGCUCCAUGGAGUUUUGAGUUAUGUGUUUCUAAUAUUUGCAAAAUAACCAACAUUUUGGAAAUGGUUGUCCCUAUAAUAAAGUAAAGUUAACGUACAUGUUGGAUAUUAAAACAAGCAUUAUUAUAUGUGUAAAGCCAGACUGACAUCAGAUUAUGCCUGUGUACCUAAUGUUGUGGAUUGUCAGGGUUGCUUCCGGGUGACACUUACUUGUAGCAGUUGUUGCUGUAAGGGUUAUAGCUGCCCAGUACAGUGAGCGUGCCCACACCAAGGCUGUAUGAGAAGAAGAUCUGGGCGCCAGCUUCCAUCCACACCUGUCAAAACCCCACUUACUGACAAAUUAGUGUGUUUUGCUCUUUGCAGUGUUUUCUUACCAUUGCGUAACAGCACAUACCUGAGGGUCUGUAAGUCGGGACAGUUCAGGAAGAAGGUAGAACACCACUCCUUGUCUGGCCCCAGGAAGAGUGAGUCCACGGAUCAAAAGGAUGAGCAGCAUGACGUAGGGGAAGGUGGCGGUGAAAUACACCACCUGGAAAGGAAAAUCAAAGUUAAAUGCAUUUAAAUGAGAUAUGACACACCGGCUGCCAUUUUUCAAAUCUUUACCUUUCCGGUAGAUUUAACCCCUUUCCAGAUGCAGAAGUAACAUAUGAUCCACAUGGCGAUGAGGCACAGCAGCACCUCCCACCUAAUGCUGCCGAUCUCCUCAAUGCCCUCUGAGAUGUUCAACACCCUACGUCUAUAAAUAUAUAAUUCUGUUGCUGCUGAAGUUCCAUUGGUGUGGUUGCUGCCCUCCAGUGUGUGAUUUCUUGUUGUAAAGUCUACACAAUCCACUGACGGGGCUGACUCUAAGCUGGUUUGCCCUCACCUGUGUUCCAGUAGUUGUCACAAGUGUUCCAGGGCAGCUGAGCGCUAAAGGAGAACAGCAGGUAGAAGAGAGCCCAGGACAGAAUAAUGAUGUAAGUCAUGCAGCUGUAGAGCCUGAUCAGCUGCCCUCCAUAGCCAAUACCUGUCACACACAC